GUGACUAAGUGAAUGCAGUUUGCCGUUGCGUGUCGCCGAAUCACAGCGAAGUAAACAGGCAGGCGUACGGAUUGGACCUGAAUCAACAAAUGGAUACAGAAAAACUGGAUGUACACUGCACAUGAGGAGACAAUAAGGGAGGACGGAGAGUCUGCCUUCAUUUGCUUUUAUCUCUGCAUCAGACGCCGCUGUGAGGAGCCCACGGGGAGGGAAAGGGAAGAUAGCGGACAACUCAUUUCUCUCUAACACCCUUGGACGCCGUGGAGCUGUGAGCCAGAAAAGAGUCGACUGUGGGACUUGACGGGAUUGAAUAUAUGCUCUUGCCGGUGAGUGAGUGUGUGUGUGUGAGAGCUGAUAUUAGCAGCCCCCAUUGGUAUUCAGUGGAGGGAGCUCCAGGAUCUCGCUGCGCCUUUCCCCAGGAUGGGAUCACAGAGCGGGGAUUGUGCUCGCCGGGGGAGAGUCUGCUGAAAUGGAUCUAAAGCCCUGCAGAGAUGGACACCAAAUGGGCAUCGUGGAAGCCAACAUCCACCCUCCAGCGACGAGCUUACCACAUCUAACCUUCUCUACAUCUCCAGCCCAGCGAGGACUGAACCUGCAGAUUUAAACUCCUACAAUUCAGAGUGAGAUACCAGAAGCUGUGAUCCAGGAAGUGGAGAAAAAAGCAGUGCGUGACAAGCCUCAGAGGAGUCGACUUACAACAAAACAGCCAACCUGUUGAGCAAAUACGAUUGAGCUUCUUGAACUUCUCCUGAAAUGAAUUAAGUUGCAGUGAUGCUUGAGCAAUGGCAUGGAGCUUUCGGACAUGUCCGGAUUUAUCGCCCGGAUAUCCUGUCGAGAUUACGACACUUUUGUGCACACCUCAGAGCUGGGCCCCUUUUUCAGAUUGGCGUGUGGGCAAAAGCGAGUAAUUGAAAAUCCCCCCUUGAGAGGUUCUCUGCUCUGAUUUGUUGUGGGAGAGAACGGCCAUUGUUCUAUUUUUUUUAAAAGAACAAUUCGAAAAAACAACUUUGUUGCCACAUUUUUCCCCUUCUUUUUCAUUUUUCGCCAUCUUUCUCACACAUCGAGGAGAGAUA